AGGACACCCUCCCUCACUGAGCCUAGGGGACACUGUCUGGGGUCCCGAGGCAGGGUCAGACCAAUCUGGCUCAGAAACGAAGCCCUGGGUCCCGCAGUUCCGCAAAAUUGCCGCUAGGGGUCCCCGUGGGAUCGCAUCGCAGCGCUCAGCUAACACUGCGUGUGCCAGAACAGGAGAACGCGACUCCAGCCCUUUUUGAGCGCCAGACCCGCUGCCCCGCUGGGAUCCAGCCCCUGGGCACCGCGCGUCCUUCCCUUUAAGCUGGUGGCCAUGCUGACGGACUGUCCAGGGCUAAUGCUGGCACCCACACGUCCCCAGAAUUGGCCCCUGGGGCUUGCUCCUGUUAGGCCCCCGGAGGAGCACUGGCCAUCUGAAAGAGACAGAAAGACAUUUUGCACUUCCAAGGUAAUUCUAAGUAAAACGUGGAGAAGCAUCCUGAUUUCCCCAGUUCUCCAGAUCCCAGAAGUGCCUCUUGUGUGCAUAAAGAGACAUCCAGGCUUCCACCAGGGGCAGGAGCUUCCGUGGCACUGCCCACCUGCUCACUUAAAGAUGUAACUCUCUCUGCUUUGCAGUAAACGCUGCCCACACUUCUGCAGGGCCGCCUAUGCAUCUUGACUGCAUUCUUUCCUCACGGGCACAAGGGGCCCAGGUGGUCCUCCAGGGUCUGUUUCUCCUGGUGUCAGGACCCAGCUUCCCAGUGACAGUCAGGAUAUACAGGACCUUAUAGGCUGAGAGCCUGACCCUCCUGUAGAAGUGCCGACAUCUGCUCCCUCCAGCCGUGAGGAGCAGGGUGGGGGGCGGGCAGAGCACACCCGUGCCUCCCCUCUGGGCUCCCUGGGCAGGGUGCACAGCGGAGGCAGGAAUCAUGGUACCUCGACACAGUUUCCAGUGGAAGACACCUGGCAGGACCUUUAGUUCAGCUCCUUUGUCUUGCAAUGGAGAACAUCAAGGCCCCCCUGAGAGGGUCAAGGUCACAGCACACGUGAAGUACAAAGCUAGGACCAGAUCCCAGGCUGGGCCAUUCCCAGAGCAGCCAUUUUCUGUCACACAGUGGGGGAGGGGGUGAGCUGACUUUAUGCUUCGGAGUCUGGCAGUAUCUGUUCCCAGCCAAGCCAAGGCAGACACGUGAGUUCAGACGCUGAGCUCAAGAAGAACUGAGGAGGAAGUGAGUAGAUCCCUACUCUGGGGAUGCGGGGACUGUCCUUCCUGCAGGGACCAUGAUUCCACUCCUCGUUUGGGGCUCCCUCGACUCCUAGAAGAGUUAUGCACAGAGCUUAGGCUGCCUAACAUUUCCUAACUCUCUGGCGACCUUUCCCUAAACAGCCCUGGGGGAGGGAGCCAGCAUCACUGGACAGGCAUAUGGCCUGUGUCAUUUUAAUCAUUUCUCCAACAGUGCAGCGGAGCCAGCAGAGGGCGCCAAAGCAGGAGGAAGAGUUUCAGAUAUUUCCUGCCUUGUUCAGAAACAACGCGGGGGCUUGCGGCUGUGGCUGAAAUUUGGACCUGGGUCUGCCUGUUCUGAGGCUCUUGUUGUCCAAUACCGUGGACUACCACCUAAAAAACUCGAGUUCCAGUUAUAACUCAGCUUGGUGGCUUUGGGCAAAUUCUCAAUUUCCUCAACUAUAAAGUGGAAACUGUACAUCAGUAGUGACCAUCUCACUGAGUCAUCAAAAUUGAAAUGACAAAGUAUAUGACAGUGCAAUGCACAUUGAAGGUUCCCCCUUAAAGCAAAAAGGCUCAUUUUCCAGUGGAAAGUUUGGGGCUGUCAACGCAAUACUUAGUGGGCUGUAAUUCAUCUUCUCUGUUCCUUGUACCUGUUUAAUCUUACCCACACCACCAGCUUGUUCUUGCCAUCUUUUGCUUUAUUUUUGCCUUUUAUAUCUUUGUGCACUACUUUAUUUUCAUUUAUUUUUCUGGUGUGUUUGAAUGUUUUGCCUCCUUAAUAUUGUGCUGAAAACCCAAAAUUCGGUGGCUUAAUUUUCUUAUGGACAGUUGGUCAUCUGAAAGGAAGGACCCAGUGGAAUUACCUCCCACCUGUGUGGUUCAGGCCAACUACGAUGUUUGUUGACCUGUCUUCAGGGGCCAUGCUGUUCCAGCAACUGCAGUAAUCAAGACUAUUCCAAACACAAGUUACAGAAUCGAAGAGGUUAGUGGCCCAUGAAGUGGAAAGACCAUGGAGAAGGCCUUCAGGGGUGGCAUCUGUGAAUGCAAGAAAUGUUCUACCUGAAUGGGUCCCCUUCUGCUCUGCCCUCCUCCAUGUUGGCUCCAUCCCUGGGCAAACUUCUCCAGUUGGUGGGAGAUGGAUAUGAUGCACACCUGAUCUUCACAGAGAAGGAGGGAGGGGACAUCUUUUCCAGCUGGGACUGUGAGAGACAGGGUUCUAGGAUGGCCUCCAAGAUUUCCCUACCUUAGUUCAUAUGCCCUGUGGGGUCCCUCUGGCUGUGGGAGGGACUGUAAAGAGGAUAGCUAGCACAUUCUGCCGUAGUGAAUGGCAGAGGGGCAGAUUAGCCUGGGUGGACCUGGCCUAAUCAGGCAACCCCUUUCCAAGCAGUUCUCUCCAGCUAGUUUCAGGAGUGUAAGGCAGAGAGAUGCACUGUGAUUGGCUCAAGAGAAAGCAAACAACCGUGUCAUGAAUUGCUGAGGGGGUCAUGUUGCAAGGUGUCCUCUGGGAUCAGAGUCC
ensembl:lincRNA uncharacterized LOC102023988